UACCAGCUCUCCGAGUGGUAGGGAUGAUUAUUGGGCUUAAAGCGUCCGUAGCCGGCUUAGCAAGUCUCCUGUUAAAUUCAGCGACCUAAUCGUUGAGCCGCGGGAGAUACUACUAGGCUAGGAGGCGGGAGAGGUCGACGGUACUUUCGGGGUAGGGGUGAAAUCCUAUAAUCCCGGGAGGACCACCAGUGGCGAAGGCUGUCGACUAGAACGCGCUCGACGGUGAGGGACGAAAGCUGGGGGAGCGAACCGGAUUAGAUACCCGGGUAGUCCCAGCUGUAAACGAUGCGGGCUAGGUGUUGGGGUGGCUACGGGCCACUUCAGUGCCGCAGGAAAGCCAUUAAGCCCGCCGCCUGGGGAGUACGGCCGCAAGGCUGAAACCUAAAGGAAUUGGCGGGGGAGCACCACAAGGCGUGAAGCUUGCGGUUC
rnacentral:rRNA from 1 species